rnacentral:rRNA from 1 species
AGCCUCAGAUCAGACGUGGCGACCCGCUGAAUUUAAAUAUAUUACUAAGUGGAGGAAAAUAAACUAACCAGGAUUCCCUCAGUAACGGCGAGUGAAGAGGGAAGAGCCCAGCGUCGAAUCCCCGUUCAGUGGCAGCCAUGGGAAAUGUGAUGUACAGAAGACAGACUCCCCGUCGUCGCUCAGGGGGCUCAAGUCCUUCAGACCGAGUCUCACCCUACGGAUGGUGUUAGGCCGGUAGCGGCCUCCGGCACGCCGGAUCAGGGUUCCUUGGGAAUGCAGCCCAAAACGGAUGGUAAACUCCAUCUCAGGCUAAAUACAGGCACAAUAAUGUUGGCCAACAAGUACAGUAAGGAAAAGUUUAAAAGACCUUUCAAGAGGGUGUGAAACCGUAAAGGUAAACGGGUGGGAUCCGUGCAGUCCACCCUCUGGAUUCAACACGGCGGGCAGGUUGUUUGCAUCAAACGGCGGAUGCCCUUGCGGGACUGCCGCCCGGGCACACCCAACUCCUGCAGGGCGCAUUUCUUCUGUGGCGGUGCACCACGACUGGCUCUGGGUCGGCUGAGAAGGCCCCAGGGGGCAGGUGGCUCUCCGCUCCGGCAGAGAAUGUUACAGCCCCCUGACAGCAGUUUUGCUGUGUCUGUGGGGCAGAGGGAGAUUGACAGCCGCCGCACCCUUCUCCGGCAACUGUCCCGGCUCCUCUUGGGGGUCACUGGGGCGGCAACGAAAGACGGAGCUCCCGAUGCAACUGUCGACUAUGGUGGACUGCCCUCAGUGCGCCCGACCACGUUGCGCAGCGGGCGGCAAGGCCCACGAAGGGCACCUGGGGUCUGAGGUGAUGUCUGUGAUCCACCGGACUCAUCUUGAAAUACAAACAAAGGAGUCUAACACGUGCAAGAGUUGGAGGGCUGAACAAAGCCCUGUGGCGCAACGAAGGUGAGGAUCAGCGUGCACCAGCUGGGAUUUUGUCGCGGUGGGCGCACUACCGGUCCAGCUUGCCCGCUCUGUCAGGGAGGUGGAGCAUGAGUGUGUGUGUGAUAGGACCCGAAAUAUGGUGAAGUAGGCCCGGGCAGGGCAAAGCCAGAGGAAACUCUGGUGUAGGUCCGUAGUGGUCCUGACAUGUAAUUGGUCGUCCGAACUGGGUAUAGGGGCGAAAGACUAAUCGAACCUUCUAGUAGCUGGUUCCCUCCUAUGUUUCCUUCGGGAUAGCUGGCACACGGAGACCCAGUUUUAUCUGGUAAAACUAAUGAUUAGAGGUAUUGGGGCUGAAAUGAUCUCAAUCUAUUCUCAAACAUUAAAUGGGUAAGAAGCCCGGCUCGCUGGGGUGGAGCCGGUUAUCGAAUGCAGUGCCCAGUGGGCCACUUUUGGUAAGCAGAACUGAUGCUGUGGGAUGAACCGAACGCUGUGUUAAAGUGCCCGAUGCCAAUGCUCAUCAGGACCACAGAAAUGGUGUUGGUUGAUCUAGGUAGCAGGAUGAUGGCCAUUGAAGUCAGAAUCUGCUAAGGAGUGUAUAACAACUCACCUGCCGAAUCAACUAGUCCUGAAAAUGAAUGGCGCUGGAGCGUCUGGCCCAUACCCAGCCGGCGCUGAGAGCCGCUGGGGCUAAGCCAUGAUGAGAAGGAGGUCUGCUGUGGUGCGCAUGAAAGCCCAGGGCGAAGGCCCGGGUGGAGCCGCCACAGGUGCAGAUCUUGGUGGUAGUAGCAAAUUUCAAACAAGAACUUUGAAGGCCGAAGUGGAGAGGGGGUUCCAUUUGAACAGUAGUUGAACAUGGGUCAGUCGGUCCUAAGAAAUGGUCGAGCGCCAUUCGGAAGGGAUGGGCGAUGGCCUCCAUUGCCAUCAGCGAUCGAAAGGGAGGGGGCGGUUCAGAUCCCGAACCCGAGUGGCGGAGACGGGUCUUCCUUGCGGCAUCCAGUGCGAUAACGUACACUAUCCAGAGAAGCUGGCGGGAUCUCUGGGGGGUGUCCUGUUUCAUAGUGAGAGCAGAGCCCCUUGGAAUGGGUUCGCCCCAAGGGAGGGUCGAGCCUUGGAAGCGUUGCCGUUCUGGCGGCGUCCAGUGAGCUCUCACUGGUCCUUGAAAAUCCGGGGGAGAUGGUGUAAAUCUCGCGCCGGGCCGUACCCAUAUCCGCAGCAGUUCUCCAAGGUGAACAGCCUCUGGCAUGUUGGAACAAUGUAGGUAAGGGAAGUCGGAUCCGUAACUUCAGGAAGGGCUGGGUCGUUGGGCUGGGUGCGAAGCAGAGUUGGCUGCGCGCUGCAGCUGAGCAAGGCAUCUCCCCUUCCCCCCUCCCCCCUCCAGGCGGUGCCGACUCUAGAUUGAGCCGUGUCCUUGAUCUGGAUCGCCCUAGCUGCGGGUGGUCGCCUCCCUCCGGGGGUCGGGGACGGCGGUUCUGCCUCGGGCCGAGGCCUAGCAGCUGCCUUAGAACUGGUGUGGACCAGGGGAAUCCGACUGUUAAAGUGGGUGUUGACGCAAUGUGAUUUCUGCCCAGUGCUCUGAAUGUCAAAGUGAAGAAAUUCAAUGAAAGCGCAGGUAAACAGCGAGAGUAACUAUGACUCUUAAGGUAGCCAAAUGCCUCAUCAUCUAAAUAGUGAUGCGCAUGAAUGGAUGAACGAGAUUCCCACUGUCCCUAACUACUAUCUAGCGAAACCACAGCCAAGGGAACAGGCUUGGCAGAAUGAGCGAGACAGAAGACCCCGUUGAGAUUAACUCUAGUCUGGCACUGUGAAGAGACAUGGGAGGUGAAGGAUCAGUGGGAGGCCCUCGGGCCGCCGGAGAAAUACCACUACUCUUACAGUUUUUUCCCUUACCCGGUGAGGCGGAAGUGAGCACUGUCGCACUCUCGCUUCUGGCUCCAAGUGCCUGGCGCUUGCCGGGCGCAACCCGCUCUGGGGACAGUGGCAGGUGGGGAGUUUGACUUGGGCGGUGCACCUGGCAAACCAUAACGCAGGUGUCUUAAGGUGAGUUCGGGGAGGGCCGAAACCACCCACGUAGCAGAAGGGCAAAAGUUUGCCUGAUCUCGAUCUUCAGUAUAAAUAUAGACUGUGAAAGCGGGGCCUCGGGAACCUUCUGACUUUUUGGCUUUCAAGUAGGAGGUGUCAGAAAAGUUACCAAAGGGAUAACUGGCUUGUGGCGGGCAAGCAUGCAUAGCGACGUCCCUUUAAUCCUGCUCAGUACGAGAGGAACCGCCGGUUCAGAAAAUUGGUGUAUGUGCUUGGCUGGGGAGCCAAUGGGGUGAAGCUACCAUCUGUGGGAUUAUGACUGAAGCCUCUAAGUCACAAUCCACCUGUGAUGAAGUCUUACUUGG